UACGUAGGUGGCAAGCGUUGUCCGGAUUUACUGGGCGUAAAGGAUGCGUAGGCGGACAUUUAAGUCAGAUGUGAAAAUACCCGAGCUUAACUUGAGUGCUGCAUUUGAAACUGGGUGUCUAGAGUGGCAGGGAGAGGUAAGUGGGAAUUCCUAGUGUAGCGGUGAAAUGCGUAGAGAGUCCGGAAGAACACCGGUGGCGAAGG
rnacentral:rRNA from 1 species